AUGAAUAUUGCUCAUCAUAAGAGAAUGGAUCUUGAAAAAGAACAUUAUGUUGAAGAACUGAAAUAUAAUGAAAUUAUGGAGCAUGUUAGUGAUGCUCAGUUAUUAAAAACAAUUAUGAAUGAUGGAUCUGGUUAUCCUAUGUUGAUAAAGGAAAUUUUGAUUAAGAAUGUUGGUAUUUCUCCUGGGUUGCUGAAUUUGAGUUACAUUUUACAUGUUGGGAAAGAUGUCCUAGACAUUGUGAUAUACAUAUGUGCACCUGUUGAUGAAACUGAUCUGAUUUUUGAUAAAUAA